UACGAAGGGGGCCAGCGUUGCUCGGAAUCACUGGGCGUAAAGCGCACGUAGGCGGCUUCUUAAGUCAGGGGUGAAAUCCUGGAGCUCAACUCCAGAACUGCCUUUGAUACUGAGGAGCUUGAGUCCGGGAGAGGUGAGUGGAACUGCGAGUGUAGAGGUGAAAUUCGUAGAUAUUCGCAAGAACACCAGUGGCGAAGGCGGCUCACUGGCCCGGUACUGACGCUGAGGUGCGAAAGCGUGGGGAGCAAACAGG
rnacentral:rRNA from 1 species